UGGGGAAUAUUGGACAAUGGGCGCAAGCCUGAUCCAGCAAUGCCGCGUGGAUGAAGAAGGUCUUCGGAUUGUAAAGUCCUUUCGGCGGGGACGAUGAUGACGGUACCCGCAGAAGAAGCCCCGGCUAACUUCGUGCCAGCAGCCGCGGUAAUACGAAGGGGGCUAGCGUUGCUCGGAAUGACUGGGCGUAAAGGGCGCGUAGGCGGUUUGAUCAGUUAGGUGUGAAAUUCCUGGGCUUAACCUGGGGGCUGCACUUAAUACGGUCAGGCUAGAGUGUGGAAGAGGGUCGUGGAAUUCCCAGUGUAGAGGUGAAAUUCGUAGAUAUUGGGAAGAACACCGGUGGCGAAGGCGGCGACCUGGUCCAUUACUGACGCUGAGGCGCGAAAGCGUGGGGAGCAAA
rnacentral:rRNA from 1 species